UCGCUCACUCUACAGUACUGAUUCUAAAUAUCUCUACUGGUGAUUAUGUCUACGAUUAAAUUACAUUAUCAUACGUUACACUGUCGAUUAAUUUAACAGUGAUUGGAAUUUUUCAUAUAAAACCGUGUGAAGGCUGUCAACCUUUGACUGGGGCCAGUCCACAACCAGUUCCUUGCAGUGGUAAAACGCCUGUAAACUGAUUAUCAGGUCUAUAGCCUCAGAAAUACAUGAUCUACAGCCUUGAUGUGGAUCAUUUUGGUGUUAUUUCUGGACAGUGGGAGGAAGUGUUGAAGCAUCAUCUUCAUCAUCAUCAUCAUCAUCAUCAUCAUCAUCCUCAUCAUCUAGGGGGAAUGUUGGAGAGAAAGAGGCU